UACGAAGGGGGCUAGCGUUGCUCGGAAUUACUGGGCGUAAAGCGCGCGUAGGCGGCUCUUUAAGUCGGGGGUGAAAUCCUGGAGCUCAACUCCAGAACUGCCUUCGAUACUGUAGAGCUUGAGUUCGGGAGAGGUGAGUGGAACUGCGAGUGUAGAGGUGAAAUUCGUAGAUAUUCGCAAGAACACCAGUGGCGAAGGCGGCUCACUGGCCCGAUACUGACGCUGAGGUGCGAAAGCGUGGGGGGCAAACAGG
rnacentral:rRNA from 1 species